rnacentral:lncRNA from 1 species
AUGAUAGGUGUCAACUGUUAACAUAUAAACCUCUCUCUGCUUCCUCCUCAGAUUUGAUAGGUGUCAACUGUUAACAUAUAAACCUCUCUCUGCUUCCCCCUCAGAAAAUGAUAGGUGUCAACUGUUAACAUAUAACAUGAUAGGGUCAACUGUAAACAUAUAAACCCUCUCUGCUUCCCCCUCAGAUUUGAUAGGUGUCAACUGUUAACAUAUAAACCCUCAGAAAAUGAUAGGUGUCAACUGUUAACAUAUAAACCUCUCUCUGCUUCCCCCUCAGAUUUGAUAGGUGUCAACUGUUAACAUAUAAACCCUCAGAAAAUGAUAGGUUCAACUGUUAACAUAUAAACCUCUCUCUGCUUCCCCUCCCCAUUUGGAUAGGUGUCAACUGUUAACAUAUAAAACCUCUCUCUGCUUCCCCCCCAGAAAAUUUGAUAGGUGUCAACACGUUAACAUAUAAACCCUCAGAAAAUGAUAGGUGUCAACUGUUAACAUAUAAACCUCUCUCUGCUUCCUCCUCAGAUUUGAUAGGUUCAACUGUUAACCCCCUCAGAAAAUGAUAGGUGUACAAAACUCAGAUUUGAUAGGUGUCAACUGUUAACAUAUAAACCUCUCUCUGCUUCCCCCUCAGA